rnacentral:rRNA from 1 species
AGAGAGAGACAUGCGCGCAUAUCAAUAAGCGGAGGAAAGGAAACUAACAAGGAUUCCCUUAGUAACGGCGAGUGAGGCGGGAAGAGCUCAAAUUUGAAAUCUUCAAGGUUUUACCUUGACGAAUUGUAGUUUAAAGAAGUGUUUUCUGUUGAAGUUUUGGUAAAAGUUCUUUGGAAUAGGACAUCAUAGAGGGUGAGAAUCCCGUAUUUGACCAUUAUUUUCAGCUUUGUGAUACACUUUCAAAGAGUCGGAUUGUUUGGGAAUGCAGUCCAAAAUGGGUGGUAAAUUUCAUCUAAAGCUAAAUAUUGGCGAGAGACCGAUAGCGAACAAGUACCGUGAGGGAAAGAUGAAAAGAACUUUGAAAAGAGAGUUAAACAGUACGUGAAAUUGUCAAAAGGGAAGCGUUUGACACCAGUGUUGUUUUCUCGAAAAUCAAUUAAAAAUGGCUCGAUUUUGUAUUGCUUGAGACCUUAAAAGCUCACUGUACAUUUUUCGUGUCUUUUUUAAUGCACUUUUCGUUUAACAAGUCAACAUCAGUUUCUUUUGUUGUAAAAGGGUCAUUGGAAGGUGGCUUUCUUUUCGGAGAAAGUGUUUAUAGCCUUUGGCCUCUGCAAUCGGAGAGACUGAGGUCUGCAGCGUAGACUCUUCGGGGUUAGAUACAUUUGUGCUAAGUUAUAGCUUUUUAUAGACAACUUGUUGACUAUAAUUAGUCUUGUAGCUUACUCGCUUAUGCUAUUUUACCUACGCUUAGGAUGUUGAAGUCAUCGUAUCGCGC